GACCAAGUUUAAUUACAAUAAACAUACUAAUCAAAUCAUGAAAAAAUAACACUAUCUAAAAUAUAACAGAAUUGUUGAAUUGUAAAUCCAUAGCAGAGAAUAGGCUACAAUUUUCAUUUCAGGUGAAACUACAUCAAUGUGAUUCAAACGUGUACCUGGAAUUCGAAUAUAACAAAAAUGGAAGAGAAAGAAAUCAGCAGCAAGGAAGCAACAAGCAGUACUCCCAAUCACAUCAAUGAAACAAUAGAGAUCGACAACAACCCAUAAAAUGAAUUUGACCAACCUAGGAGGAGUUCAAAACUUAAACAAAACUAAUAAAUCAACCAAUAGACCACUUGAAUGCACUCAAAGUUAGAACUCAGAUUUCGUAUCUUAAACUCUCUUCAACUCUCAAAAGAAACUCCCCAAAGUUAAAUUCUGUCGUGUAUACUGAGCGUAUCCAGAGUGUAUAUUGUGCGUAUACUUCUCUCUCCUCUCCCUUCUUUUUUUCUUCUCCUCCUAUUUUUCUCCGUAG
rnacentral:lncRNA from 1 species